GCCGGGAUAGCUCAGCUGGGAGAGCAACAGACUGAAGCGCCCCAUCGGGUCGGACUUCUGGAGGUCGCGUGUUCAAUCCACGCUCCUGGCA
rnacentral:tRNA from 1 species